rnacentral:rRNA from 1 species
UACGUAGGUGACAAGCGUUAUCCGGAAUUAUUGGGCGUAAAGAGCUCGUAGGCGGUUUGUCGCGUCUGCCGUGAAAGUCCGGGGCUCAACUCCGGAUCUGCGGUGGGUACGGGCAGACUAGAGUGAUGUAGGGGAGACUGGAAUUCCUGGUGUAGCGGUGAAAUGCGCAGAUAUCAGGAGGAACACCGAUGGCGAAGGCAGGUCUCUGGGCAUUAACUGACGCUGAGGAGCGAAAGCAUGGGGAGCGAACAGG